UUUUAAUCCAAAAAAAUCCCCAAAAUUUCAAUUUUUAUCCCAAAAAUAUCCAAAAUUCACAUUUUUAAUCCAAAAAAAUCCCCAAAAUUUCAAUUUUUAUCCCAAAAAAUUCCCCAAAUUCCCAUUUUUCACCCCAAAAUUCCCGGAAUCCCUUCAAUUCAAUUUUCCCGGGAAUUCCCCCCGUUUUCCCGGGAAUUUUUCCCGCCUUUUCCAGGCCGCCCAAUCCCAGGGUCUCCCCCCGGAAUCUCUCGGCCCCUCCCCCCUCUCGGAAAUUCCGGAAGCUUCCGACGCCGAUUCCCGGAUCCGGCGCUUCCGGAGCCGCCUCGGCCCCGCCCUCAAAGCCCUGCAGGAGGCGGAGCCAGACCCGGAAGUGGGCGGGGCUUCCCUGGGAGGAUUCUCAUUGGUCGAAGCUGCCUGGGCGUGGCUGGAGGGGGAGGGGCAGCCGGAGCGGGCGCGGCGCGCUCUGAUUGGCCGGAGGAAGCAGCAGCUGGCGCUCCUGUCCCGCCUGGGCUUUCCGGAAGUCUCUGCGGCGGCGCCGGCGCUGCGACGUCACGGCGGCGACCAAUGGGAGGCGCUGAAGGAGCUGCAGAGGGGGAAGCUCCGCCCCUUCCUCUUACGUCACUUCCGGGGGGAGGAGCCAGGGCUGGACUUCAACCAGGCCGACCAGCAGGUAACUGGGUUAUACUGGUUUGUACUGGUUUGUACUGGUUUGUACUGGUUUGAACUGGUUUAUACUGGUUUAGACUGGUUCGAACUGGGUUAUACUGGUUUAUACUGGUUUAGACUGGUUUAUACUGGUUUGAACUGGUUUAUACUGGUUUAUACUGGUUUAUACUGGUUUAUAGUGGUUUAUAGUGGUUUAUACUGGUUUAUACUGGUCUAUACUGGUUUAUACUGGUUUACACUGGUUUAUACUGGUUUAUACUGGUUUGAACUGGUUUAUACUGGUCUAUACUGGUUUAUACUGGUUUAUACUGGUUUAUACUGGUUUAUAGUGGUUUAUACUGGUUUAUACUGGUUUGUACUGGUUUAUACUGGUUUAUAGUGGUUUAUAUGCGUUAUACUAUUCCAUACUGGUUUAUACUGGUUUAUACUGGUUUAUACUGGUUUAUACUGGUCUAUACUGGUUUAUACUGGUUUUCCAGGCCCUCCUCCGUCAGAUCCUGGCCACUCUGCCCGUGGCCAGCUGGGGCCGGGCGUGGCUGGUGGCCGGGCUGGGCCGGGAGCUGGGCCUGGUUUAUACUGGUUUAUACUGGUUUAUAGUGGUUUAUACUGGUUUAGACUGGUUUAUACUGGUUUAAACUGGUUUAUACUGGUUUAGACUGGUUUAUACUGGUCUAUACUGGUUUAUACUGGUUUGGGGUUUCUGGAUGGGACUGGGAGGGGUUCGGGAUUACUGGUUUAAACUGGUUUAUACUGGUUUAUACUGGUUUAUACUGGUUUAUAGUGGUUUAUACUGGUUCAUACUGGUUUAUACUGGUUUAUACUGGUUUGGGGUUUCUGGAUGGGACUGGGAGGGGUUCGGGAUUACUGGUUUAAACUGGUUUAUACUGGUUUAUACUGGUUUAUACUGGUUUAUACUGGUUUGAACUGGUUUAUACUGGUUUAUACUGGUUUAUACUGGUUUAAACUGGUUUAUACUGGUUUAUACUGGUUUAAGCAGGUUUAUAGUGGUUUAUAUGCGUUAUACUAUUCCAUACUGGUCCAUACUGGUUUAUACUGGUUUAUACUGGUUUAUACUGGUUUAUACUGGUUUAUACUGGUUUAUACUGGUUUAAACUGGUCUAUACUGGUUUAUACUGGUUUGGGGUUUCUGGAUGGGACUGGGAGGAGUUCGGGAUUACUGGUUUAUACUGGUUUAUAGUGGUUUAUACUGGUUUAUAGUGGUUUAUAUGCGUUAUACUGGUUUAUACUGGUUUAUACUGGUUUAUACUGGUUUAUACUGGUUUGGGGUUUCUGGAUGGGACUGGGAGGGGUUCGGGAUUACUGGUUUAAACUGGUUUAUACUGGUUUAUACUGGUUUAUACUGGUUUAUACUGGUUUAA
ensembl:lncRNA